rfam:Pseudomonas sp. TTT2014-080ASC scaffold_1, whole genome shotgun sequence.
UUCGCAGCCGCUGCAUUUUCUAUGUAGCCCUCUGCAAGCCGUCGCCGGCAACUUCUACUCGAUCUAUCGAUAAUAAAGCAGGCGUCCAGCCGUUCUCAGCGGCACGGC